GCGCCCGUAGCCCAACCGGUAGAGGCAGGUCACUUAAAAUGAUCCCAGUGCGGGUUCGAAUCCCGCCGGGCGCA
rnacentral:tRNA from 1 species